rnacentral:rRNA from 1 species
AAACAAAGGGAAGCGAGCCUGUGAAGGGGAGCAAAUCCCAAAAAUAACGUCCCAGUUCGGAUUGUAGUCUGCAACCCGACUACAUGAAGCUGGAAUCGCUAGUAAUCGCGGAUCAGAAUGCCGCGGUGAAUACGUUCCCGGGUCUUGUACACACCGCCCGUCACACCAUGGGAGUCGGAAAUGCCCGAAGUCUGUGACCUAACCGUAAGGAAGGAGCAGCCGAAGGCAGGUCGGAUGACUGGGGUGAAGUCGUAACAAGGUACC